ACGGAGUGUCGUGGCGGGCACUUGUGAGCCAGCUUCUAGGCCGUAGAUUAUGGUGGAGAGAGUGAGGAAGGGAUCCCUGGUCGGAAUUCGGUCUACGACGACCGGGCGUCCGUGCCAAGCGAUGCGUCACUAGGGGGUAAGACUCGGAAGGGUCUCUCUCCCGGGUGGAAAAGGACAACCGUAUGGCUCAGGCCCGAAAGGGAGCAGGCAAAAGGUUGCGCGCCUUGACAGUGGCCGGAUAGCGUCUGCGAGUAGAUCGGCCCGAGCAGCCCUUCUGAUACCUCUCGACCCAUAAUCGC
rfam:Pristionchus pacificus strain PS312 contig11488, whole genome shotgun sequence.